GAGACACCCUUCUGGGGCAAGACUUGCUUCAGUAGGGCUUUGGUGCUCACUGAGUCUGCCCCCUGAAUGUGUCCCU
rnacentral:pre_miRNA from 1 species